GAGCGCAACCCUUAUCUUUAAUUGCCAGCAUUCAGUUGGGCACUUUAAGAGACUGCCGGUGUUAAACCGGAGGAAGUGGGAUGACGUCAAGUCCUCAUGGCCUUUAUGCUUAGGGCUACACACGUGCUACAAUGGGUGGUACAAAGAGAAGCCAACUCGCGAGAGCGCGCCAAUCUCAAAAAGCCAUCCUCAGUUCGGAUUGGAGUCUGCAACUCGACUCCAUGAAGUUGGAAUCGCUAGUAAUCGCGGAUCAGCAUGCCGCGGUGAAUACGUUCCCGGGCCUU
rnacentral:rRNA from 1 species